CUGCUGUGUUUUAAAAUAGCUCAACUAAAUACGAAAUGAUUCAACUAGAUGGGACGUGAUUCAACCUUAUGUGAAAUAAAUAAACUAAAUGUGAAACGACUCAAUGCAAUGUGAAAUCACUCAAUUAAAUGCGACAUCGUUCAACUAGAUGUGAGAAUCUUGACUAUUCAAUACCAUGUGAAAUCACUCAACUAAAUGUGAAAUCACUCAUAGGCGUACG